ACAGAAAAGUAAGAUAAAGCGCAGAGAUCGAGAGGAACUCGCGGUGCGUCUAGAUUAACUGGAAUGGCUCAUUAAACAGUUAUAGUUUAUUUGAUACAUUAAUGGAUAACUGUAGAAAACUAGAGCUAGUACAUGCCAAUGCCGUAAGGUUGUAUUUAUUAGAUAUUCCAAAUAAGAUGAAUCAUAAUAACUCCGCAAAUCUCGAUUUCAUCGAGAUAAAUCAUCCAAGUUUCUGCCCUAUCAGCUUUCGAUGGUAGUGUAUUGGACUACCAUGGCUCUCACGGGUAACAGGGAAUUAGGGUUUCGACUCAGGAGAAGGAGCCUGAGAAACGGCUACUACAUCUAAGGAAGGCAGCAGGCGCGUAAAUUACCCAAUCCUGACUCAGGGAGGUGGUGACAAGAUAUAAUAACCCUAUUAACGUAGUGAUUAUAGUGAGGAUAUUCCAAACAGAAUCACAAGAACGAUUAGAGGGCAAGUCUGGUGCCAGCAGCCGCGGUAAUUCCAGCUCUAAUAGCGUAUAUUAAAGUUGCUGCAGUUAGAGCUCGUAGUUGGAUUUCAGGAUUACAUAUCUAUGGAUGUGUACCUACUAGCUUUUCAGCUGUUACUGGUGGAGAAAAUAAAAUGGUUAAGCAGGUCCUUGCGAGAAAACAUUUAUACUGGAUAACGAAAGAGACUCAGAACCUCUGGUUAAUUCUCAAAUCCCGCAUAUUAAAGCGAGC
rnacentral:rRNA from 1 species